rnacentral:rRNA from 1 species
AUCGAGGUUAAAGGUACCCGUACCGCAAACCGACACAGGUGGGUGAGGAGAGUAUCCUAAGGCCAGCGAGAGAACUGUUGUUAAGGAACUCGGCAAAAUGACCCCGUAACUGAGGGAUAAGGGGUGCCACCAUCAGGUGGCCGCAGAGAAUAGGCCCAAGCGACUGUUUACCAAAAACAUAGGUUUCUGCUAAGUCGCAAGACGAUGUAUAGGAGCUGACGCCUGCCCGGUGCUGGAAGG